AGGCGGAGCUCGGGGGUUAAUGCAAGUGAUGGGGAGUGGCUGUAAAUACAGACGAAGCUUAGCUUGCUUGCUGCCACUCACUUCCUGCUGUGUGGUCUGGUUCCUAAUGGGGGUUGGGGACCUCUGCCCUACAGCUAGUCACCAUCAGCAACAGAAGCUUCAUCAUCCCCAUUCUCUUCUUCCUGCUAAGGCUGAGAAAGGUCUGUGGGUCAGGUGGGCAGCUCUACUCUGUCUCUCAUCCUCCUGGGACCAACAGGCCAGCCAGGCAAUGGCGAUGGCUCAAGAGGAAGCACUGGAGGCCUUGAGAAAGACCUGGGGGCCGGGCGCAGUAGCUCACACCUGCAAUCCAAACACUUUGGGAGGCCAACAGGAGGAGGAGGAUCAUUUGAGCCCAUGAAUUAGAGACCAGCCUGGGCAACAUGGCAAAACCCUGUCUCUACCCAAAAAUACAAAAAUUAGCCGGGCCUGGUGGCACACGCCUGUAGUCCCAGCUACUUGGGAGCCUGAGGUGGGAGGACUGACUGAGCCCAAGAGGUUGAGGCUGUAGGGAGCUGUGAUUGUGCCACUCCAGUCUGGGCGAUAGAGUGAGACUCUGUCUCAAAAAAAUAAAAAUAAAAAUUUACAAUAAAUAAAAGGUGGGGGCUCAUGAUACACCUGUACUUCUGUCAAUAUAUUAGUACCAAAAGCAAGUUACACGUCCAAGUCCCACAUCAAGGGCAGAAGUAUAUUCUGCCUGAGAUGACACCCUGGAUGCAGGAAGUGGGAGAGAGGAUAAAAUUGGGAUCCAUAAUAUAGUCUACCACAGAUGAGAUGACCAGGAUAAGAACAUAGGCAGGGCUGGGCGCGGUGGCUCAUGCCUGUAAUCCCAGCACUUUGGGAGGCCGAGGCGGGCAGAUCACGAGGUCAGGAGUUUGAGACCAGCCUGGCCGACAUGGUGAAACCCCAUCUCUACUAAAAAUAUAAAAAAUUAGCCAAGUGUGGUGGCACAUGCCUGUAGUCCCAGCUACUUGGGAGGCUGAGGCAGGAGAAUUGCUUGAACCCGGGAGGCGGAGGUUGCAGUGAGCCAAGAUCACAC
rnacentral:lncRNA from 1 species